UACUCUUCUCCUCUGGAAGCCAUCUACUCGCAAUACCAGAGGGCACACACUCUCCUGCCCUGAUGUAAUCUCCAGGGAUACAGGCAUCCAGCAACAGGACCUCCGUAAUGCCAUGAUGGACCGUGAAGUCUGGCGCAACAUAGUAAAUUCCAUUGUCUCGACCACGGUCGAACAAUGAUGAAUGAUGAUGAUGAGUU
rnacentral:lncRNA from 1 species